GGGGCCUCAAGGUUCACAAAAGAAAAGGCGCUGCGCCUCUGGGUCGGCAAAGAAGGUCAGAAUGGAGGAGACGAGCUUGGCCACACCUGCCCAGGUGGCCCUCACUGUCGAUGUUCCUUCAGACGCCGAGCCUCCAGUUCCCCGAGCCUCUUCGAGGAGUUCUCCCGUCGAGGCCCCUGCUCCGGGGGCCCGCUCCGAGGAG
rnacentral:lncRNA from 1 species